rnacentral:SRP_RNA from 1 species
UGCCGGGCUAGGCCGGGGGGUUCGGCGUCCCCUGUGACCCGAAAGCGCCGACAUGCGGGGGCGACGGCCGGAUGAGGGGUACCGAGGGUCCCCGUCGCCGCCGCGGAACGAUGACGCUCCGUCCCUCGGGGCCCGGGGACGGGUGGGGCGCCGCCGGAGGGCGGCGCUCCCCCGCUCGCCGCGGGGAACGGGCCAGGCCCGGAAGGGAGCAG